AUGUCUUAACCAAAAAUAUAUUACUAAUACCAAAAAAAAAUUAAAAUUAACGGCUAGAUGUCGACGGGCUUAUUGAGCUGAUACGAAGUAAGGCGAAUGAGAUUUCUCAAGAGCAUGGCAAUAGUAACCUUACCAAUACUAGGAACAUAUAUACCAGCGUGUUCCUUGAGAGACGCCGCGUCAAAAUUUUUCUCGCUAGAAAAGCAAAUGCAAACAGCGCCAUCACGGACAAGGUUAGAAGGGAAUUUGUAAUUGGCAGAAGGGACACCACAAAUGAUAACAUCAGAUAUAGGUGCUACGUCUUCAAGCUUAAAGUUUGUAUCAGCAACAUCGUGCUUUUUGCUACGUAUUCCAGCACCACGAGUAAAACACUGAACAUUGUGAAUAUCAACAGAGUAGACCUUCGCGCCAUCAUUUGCUAACAAAGCUGCAAGAGGUCGGCCCACAAUUUCGCUUCUGUUAACGAUAGUAAUGGUUUUGCCAUAAAGUCUAUUUCCGUAGUUGAUGAUUUUAUUGUAAACACCAAGAUAUUCGAGAAUUUUGACAAUUGCCAAAGGUGUACAUGGAAGUAUAGAUUUUUUAGUUUUCUCAGGAUCAAGAUGUCUGAUAUUAUGAUACAUGUUCAUCACAUACUUAUGACACAAACCUUCAACGUCCUUAUCAGGGGAGACCACCUGCUGUAAAUAUUGAUCCUGCCCAUCGUUAAAAACAGGGAAAUAGAUCAUGAUACCAUUUACAGAUGGAUCAUUAUUUGCUUCAACGAUUGCAUCCUCCAGAUCAUCCUUUGGCACUUCACGCAAUUCAUACUGAAACCCAAUUUCUGUGCAGGUUUUGUUUGUCCAAUCUAAAUUGUUCAUGAUUAGAAGCAGGAACGUUAAAUUUUUAGAGGCACUUACCCGCAUACAUGCGAGCAGCAGGAUCAGAAUUUGAGAGAAACCCAACGAGUUUGGGAGCAAAUUCAAAAAGGUUAACAUGUUGCUUAAGCUGCUCAACGAAUGUUUCUGCGACCCGACUAGCAUACACAACCUCUGAAAAAUUCAAUUAAUAAAAAUUUCGAAAAAAAACAAAAAGAAGAAGGCUUCGCCAAACCUCAUUUCUAUUUUAUAACGGUAAUGGUGUAUCUUUGAAUAAGAUGGUACUUACUGCAGCUAUGGUUAGGUUCGGACUUAUUUGUAUUACUCAUUUUGAAGAAAUCUUAAAACAAUUCCACUAUAUAACCUCUCCUUGCUGGCAGGUAGUUGUUUUGCUGUGGGUAAAAUUUUUUGAGGUACAGGAUAGUAUUCAUACACAAUCGAGAUAAUUUUACAAUUGCACACUCCUACGAACUUUAGAGUAAUUCAAAACUUCUUUGAAUAAUAUUUCCA